GGUGCUGUAGUGCAGCAGGUUAACGCCCUGGCCUGAAAAACCAGUAUCCCAUAUGGGUGCCGGUUCUAGUCCUGCCUGCUCCU
rnacentral:tRNA from 1 species